rnacentral:rRNA from 1 species
GACUGCAGUCUGCAACUCGACUGCACGAAGCUGGAAUCGCUAGUAAUCGCGGAUCAGCACGCCGCGGUGAAUACGUUCCCGGGCCUUGUACACACCGCCCGUCACACCAUGGAAGUCUGCAAUGCCCGAAGCCGGUGGCCUAACCACUUAUGUGGAAGGAGCCGUCUAAGGCAGGGCAGAUGACUGGGGUGAAGUCGUAACAAGGUAGC